AUACGGAGGGUGCAAGCGUUAAUCGGAAUUACUGGGCGUAAAGGGUGCGUAGGUUGUGAAGUAUGUUGGUUGUGAAAUAUCCGGGCUUAACCUGGAAAGGUCAUCCAAAACUGCUUGACUAGAGUACAGGAGAGGAAAGGGGAAUUUCCGGUGUAGCGGUGAAAUGCGUAGAUAUCGGAAGGAACAUCAGUGGCGAAGGCGCCUUUCUGGACUGAUACUGACACUGAGGCACGAAAGCGUGGGGAGCAAACAGGAUUAGAUACCCCGGUAGUCC
rnacentral:rRNA from 1 species